rnacentral:lncRNA from 1 species
AUAUGGCCACUGAUGCACUGAGAAUAAAGGGACCUGUCCAAGGGAGGCAUCCAGAGCUAGAAGGUGAGCCCCAAUGGGGGCUCAGCCCCAGAGCGUCUGGGCCCUGCACCUAGGAGGCCGGGGAGCAGCCAGAGCCUUGUCACGUUCCCGGAAACAGCCAGCCUCCGUGGGGCAGCCUGGCCUCUGGUCCCUUUCUUGCUGGAAACCACCUCCUGGUGGACCUCCAGGCUGUCCACCUGAGACGACCAAGCAGGCAGAGGAAGAGGGGAAGACACAGAGCCUCUUGACCUGGAACUCCGAGGAACACCUGUUCCCUGCAUCACUUCAGACUGCAGCGCUGCUGAGAAAGAUCUCAUCUGUUCACAACCUACCCGCAAAAUACACAGGUAAGAAGCCAGGCCUGAAACAUCUUGUCUUUCAAUGCAGUGACAAUGGGUACAAAACCCAGGCAGUGACACAAGCAUUUUGCAGUGAGUUGCAAAAGGAAACACGAGAUGGAGAAAGCAAAAUAAAUAGAUUUGAAGGAUGGGCUAAGGAACUUAAAAGAGAGGUACGCUCCAGGGAAUAA